GAUGAACGCUGGCGGCGUGCUUAACACAUGCAAGUCGAACGGAAAGGCCCAAGCUUGCUUGGGUACUCGAGUGGCGAACGGGUGAGUAACACGUGGGUGAUCUGCCCUGCACUUCGGGAUAAGCCUGGGAAACUGGGUCUAAUACCGGAUAGGACCACAUUUUGGAUGGUGUGGUGGAAAGUUUUCCGGUGUGGGAUGAGCUCGCGGCCUAUCAGCUUGUUGGUGGGGUAAUGGCCUACCAAGGCGUCGACGGGUAGCCGGCCUGAGAGGGUGUACGGCCACAUUGGGACUGAGAUACGGCCCAGACUCCUACGGGAGGCAGCAGUGGGGAAUAUUGCACAAUGGGCGCAAGCCUGAUGCAGCGACGCCGCGUGGGGGAUGACGGCCUUCGGGUUGUAAACUCCUUUCGCUAGGGACGAAGCGUUUUUGUGACGGUACCUGGAGAAGAAGCACCGGCUAACUACGUG
rnacentral:rRNA from 1 species